AACGUAUUUAUAUAAUGCACUAUAACACUUUUUGUUUUUGAGCAAAUCACACAACUGGCGGCGGGAGGGAUCACUAACUUCCAUUAUUUCACUUGCUAAUAGUAGUCUAUUAAAAAUGAAAAUUUGGUUUUGGCAUUUAAAAAAAAUAUGAUUCAUAUCUGCGAUCUCGUUAGUGCAGAAAGAGCAAACAUUGUUAUCUAUAAUAUUAAGUUUAGCGAGGUGUGCGGGUGUAGUGUUGUGACCAAAACGCAAUCUGUUGAUUGUGGUAACGAACUCACGACUAACUGUAUCCAACUCAUAAUCUUCAUACCAGGGUCUUCUCAGUAAAUUUUCUUGUAUACUUCCAUACCAUUUUCCUUUAAGUUUUUGAUCUUCUUUCCAUAAAUUUGCCCAUAUAUCUUUUAUUGAAUUAUUUAUAUUAUAAUAAUAAUCGGUCAUAGGAACAUGUACCACAUUUCUGACAUUAAGAGUGUUAAUCCCUUCAUAUGCAGCUUUGUCUGCUAUUUCAUUACCAGUAAUACCUUUAUGUGAGGGUACCCACAUAAAGGCAAUAGUUACAUCUUUCUUAUACAACCGCAAGACAGUAUCUUUAAUUCAAUAGAGAAUAUAAUUGGUUUUAAAAUUAUUAAGAGUAGCAUGCUUAAGACUAUUUAAAAGACUCAAAGAGUCUGUCAAAAUUAGAAAAUAUUUACAAUUGUUUAUAGAAGUAAUCGAUUUUAAAGCUGCAAAAACUGCAUAUGCCUCUGCUGUAAAUAUGGAGCAGUUUUUAUCUAGAACAAAGCUUUGAGCAACAUCUUUUUGGGAAUCAUAUACCGCACUUCUCACAAAAUCAUUGCCUUUACUGCCGUCAGUAUAUAUAGUAUAGUACUUGUUAUUUUCUUCUUUGAAAGCCAGUAAGUCUGAAUUAUUUUCAAUUGAAUUUGAUAGAAUCGUAAUAGGAUGUGUGAUACAACUGUAUGAAUGAGUGUAACACGACCAGUGAGAAUGUUUUUUGAUGUUUGAAUAAUGAGAUUGUAUUUCUGUAAAGAUCUGGCACAAAGUUGGAGAUGUACCUGUCAGAAGAUCAUUUGGUGAAGUGAGAGGACCAUCUAUAUUGAUUGGGUCAGAUAUCAGAGAAAUGAAGCUAUCGGCACAGCUUCUUCCUUUACGGAAGCCAUAUUGAAUAUGUGGUAUGACAUUAUUGGAUUCUGCAUACCAGUCAAGUCGAGAUUUUACCAUGUUUUCAAAUAUUUUUCCAAUACAUGAUGAUAACGAGAUUGGACGAUAGGAACUAAUCUGUUCAGGGUUGGAGCGUGGUGGAAGAGGAGGGAACUCAUCAUUAUCUUUUGUAAUGGCAACGCUUGCAUACGUUAUUUUAUUUUUCUUUUCUAAUAUUUUCUGCAUUUUUAUAGGACACAAUUUAGAAAUAGCUAAAUGAGGUCCAUUGCAAUUAGCACAGCAAAUCUCAUUUGGCUUACUGCAGUCUUUAUAGGAAUGUUCACCUGAACAAAUAGAGCAACGCUCUUUGCCAUUACAAAUUUUUGCAAAAUGGUUAAAUUUAAGACAUUUAAAACAUUGUUGCAGAGGAGGAACAUAUUCAAAUAUUCUCGUAAAAAAAAUAAGUCGUAUUGGACACUUUCAGGAUAUAACCUUUUAUAAUUGGGCUUGCGAUAUGCCAUAUAAGAGUCUUUCUCACCACCUUCGCCGCCAGCAUCAGAAACAUCUUGGAGAUCUUCUAACCGCCGUCGUGGUCUCUUUUUUGAGGUGGGCGGGUCAAACCCGCCCCCCUCGUUUCCUUCCAUUUUAAUUAUUUAUUCACUAUAUUUAUAUUUAAUUUGCCAAUUUAUACUGUUAUUUACAAAGAAAUAAUAUUUAUUUUAAUUAAAAUACAAUUUUGAAAAAAAAUUGAA